rnacentral:rRNA from 1 species
UACGGAGGGGGGCUAGCGUUGUUCGGAAUUACUGGGCGUAAAGCGCACGUAGGUGGCUUUGUAAGUUAGAGGUGAAAGCCCGGGGCUCAACUCCGGAAUUGCCUUUAAGACUGCAUCGCUAGAAUUGUGGAGAGGUAAGUGGAAUUCCGAGUGUAGAGGUGAAAUUCGUAGAUAUUCGGAAGAACACCAGUGGCGAAGGCGGCCCGCUGGACAUGUAUUGACGCUGAGGUGCGAAAGCGUGGGGAGCAAACAGG